GGACGACCAGAUCGGCGGCGGUGGCGGCGGCAUCGACGGCACUAGCCGCCGGCACCGCCGAAAGGUCGGAGUCUUUGUUGGACCACGAAGCCGCGACGAUCUGCGCGACGCCGAUGUUGCUGCAGUUGCGGCGGGCCUUGGUGCUGAGCUGGCGGACGAAGUUGGGAGGGAAGCGGAGAAUGAGUGACGAUAGGCCGUGAAACGGCGCCGGAGAGUCGACGCGGCCUGCGGCGAAGCCGGGGCGGGGAUUGACGGCGGCGCGGGUGGCGAGGUCGGGGUGGUGGCGGCAGCAGUAGGUGGAGGAGGAGGAGGAGGAGGUGAAAACCCUAGGACACGUGUACACGCCCAUGGUGGUGAGAGUGAGGAAGAUUGAUGAGGGAUCGAGAGCAGGGUUUUAGCUGGAGCGAGAGUUUCUAAUUUUUCGGGAAAGUGGUUAGGGGGGUUUGAGUUGGUCUACCAUCCAGGGGAUUUAAUACCCGCCUUUUUCUAUUUUUCGUAAUCGAUUUCAGUGUUUAUUCUUCUCUUUUUUUAAGGUGUAACAAACAACAAAGAAGAUGGAUGCUAGCUUGGUCCAGUUGGAUUCGUGCCGACGUGGAUCCACUCUGGCAACAUAAAAGAACCAAAAUUAUUCUUUUGAAUGAUUAUUGAAUUCAUUUAGAAAUAAAUAGAGCUCUUUUAAU
rnacentral:lncRNA from 1 species